GAGAUCUUCUGGAGAGUCCAGACUGCAGACUGGAGACUCUCUGGAUCAAUGAUGAGCCGUUCAGAGCCACGAUCCCGAAGACCUUUUAUUCAUCACGGGGCGAGUUUGAGACGUAAAGAGGAGCGUGGAGGCGUUUUGGAAAAUAAAGAAGAAGGCUGCAGCUGAUGAGACACUUCCUGUUAGCUCUCCUCAAUAUUAAAUGAACAAAAACAAUCAAUUGUACUUAAAGCUUUUCUUAAGAAUAAAUAUGUGUUGCACAUACACCUGCUGCUACCUACCACCACCUCCCACCCAUCCCGGCACCAAAGAGGAGACUCCAUCGACCCCAGAUACCCAAACUCACUCUUCUUCAGGUUAGCUUCGAGCCCCGCCUUUACCUGCCCCAACACCUCACUUUGAACGAUGUAGUCAUCCGGAUAUCUGCAUACUGAGAGUGGGACGCAGGACCCGGUCAAUGAGGCUGUAUAGGUUGAUCCAUGGGUUGAUAAUGUGACUGUCGGUUUGAAAAAAUUAUUUAUAAUCCAUAAUUUCCAUUUGUAUGUAAAAUUCGGAGCAAAUAAGUUAGCUGCUAAUGGUAGCCACCUUCCGGUGUGCAGCUUCCGGUUUUGGCCACGCGUCACUCUCACUCCUUAUUUGUUAACAUGUUGAUGUG